AUGUCCCAUUAUCCAUUCGAUCGUAGUUUUCAUCCUGGGAUGAGCAGCACUCUUCUGAGUCUAGCUACCGAUUUCAGGAUGGACAAUAGGAUAGUUCCAUGGGACGAACUGACCGGUAGUGACACCAUAAUGAAUGAGUUGGCUCACAAAUUACGUAUGUCUGGGUGGCCUGAAAGGACCUAUGAGGAGGUACGUAAAGAACUUCUUAGGUUGCAUGAAAGGUGGAAGAAGGUAGUGGAGCCGAAGAGUGAAACUUUCAGAAGGACUGCAACAAAGAAUACAUUUUUAUGGACUGAGGAGAGUGAGGACGACGAUGAUAUCUUCAUGCUGCCGCUUCCGGGUUCUGCAUCGUCGAAGAUUAAGAGUUCUGCAUCGUCCAAAGGCAAGAGUUCUGCAUCCUCGAAGGGCAAGAGUUUUGCAUCGACCAAGGGCAAGAGGACCGCAUCGUCGAAGGGCAAGAGGGCUGCAUCAACGGAGGAUGAUGAUGAUGACUUCAUGUAG
rnacentral:rRNA from 1 species